ACCUUCGUGGUGCAACGGUAGCACACUCGGCGCGUAUUCGAGAGAUCCAGGUUCGAGUCUCAGCGAGGGCA
rnacentral:tRNA from 1 species